rnacentral:rRNA from 1 species
AUACGGAGGGGGUUAGCGUUGUUCGGAAUUACUGGGCGUAAAGCGCACGUAGGCGGAUUGGAAAGUUGGGGGUGAAAUCCCAGGGCUCAACCCUGGAACUGCCUCCAAAACUAACAGUCUAGAGUUCGAGAGAGGUGAGUGGAAUUCCGAGUGUAGAGGUGAAAUUCGUAGAUAUUCGGAGGAACACCAGUGGCGAAGGCGGCUCACUGGCUCGAUACUGACGCUGAGGUGCGAAAGCGUGGGGAGCAAACAGGAUUAGAAACCCUUGUAGUCC